GGUCGGGUGGCGCAAUGGUAGCGCUUAACACUCCUAGGGGAAGGAGCAACCCUCCUGUUUCCUUCACAAUGUUAGGGUUGCGAGUUCGAGUCUCGUCCCGAUCG